rnacentral:rRNA from 1 species
UAGGGAAUAUUGGGCAAUGGAGGGAACUCUGACCCAGCCAUGCCGCGUGCAGGAUGAAGGCGUUAUGCGUUGUUAACUGCUUUUAUAUAGGAAGAAAUAGUCCUUGCGAGGAAAGUUGACGGUACUAUAUGAAUAAGCACCGGCUAACUCCGUGCCAGCAGCCGCGGUAAUACGGAGGGUGCAAGCGUUGUCCGGAUUUAUUGGGUUUAAAGGGUGCGUAGGCGGUUUAUUAAGUCAGUGGUGAAAGACGGUCGCUCAACGAUUGCAGUGCCAUUGAUACUGGUAGACUUGAGUAUGAUUGAGGUAGCUGGAAUGGAUAGUGUAGCGGUGAAAUGCAUAGAUAUUAUCCAGAACACCAAUUGCGUAGGCAAGUUACUAAGUCAUAACUGACGCUGAGGCACGAAAGUGUGGGUAUCAAACAGGAUUAGAUACCCAAGUAGUCCCUGAGCGGGCUGGCAAGGCGCAU